UAAGCGGAGGAAAAGAAACUAACAAGGAUUCCCCCAGUAGCGGCGAGCGAACAGGGAUCAGUCCAGCACCGAACCCCGCGGGCUCCCGCCCGCCGUGGCGUGUGGUGUUUGGGAGGGCCCGCCAUCCCGGCGCUUCGCGGCGAGUCCAAGUCCAACUUGAAUGAGGCCACGGCCCGCAGAGGGUGCCAGGCCCGUAGAGACCGCCGCUGGUGCCGGGAGGACCUCUCCCUCGAGUCGGGUUGCUUGAGAGUGCAGCUCUAAGUGGGUGGUAAACUCCAUCUGAGACUAAAUAUGACCACGAGACCGAUAGCGAACAAGUACCGUGAGGGAAAGUUGAAAAGAACUUUGAAGAGAGAGUUCAAAAGUACGUGAAACCGUUCUGGGGUAAACGCGAGAAGUCCGAAAGGUCGAACGGGGAGAUUCACGUCCAUCCGGCCGCUGGCCUCCGCUCCCGGCAGAUGGGGCCGGCCGCCCGCUCGGAGCAAUCCGCGGCGGGGUCGUGUCCGGUUGUCUUUCCACUCGCCGAGGGGCGGAGCCGUUCCAGUGUGCGGUGGGCCGCACUUCUCCUCUAGUAGGACGUCGCGACCCGCUGGGUACCGGCCUAAGGCCCGGGUGCCAGCCUGCCCGGCCGCUGGCUUCGGUCAGCGUUCGUCGGGCAGAGCCCCGGUGCAUCCCCGGCCGGCUGCUCGGCGGUACAUACAACGAGGAGUCGAUUCGCCAAAAUUUGUUUUGGGCGCCCUGGGCCCCCGGCAAGCGCGCGCGGUUCUUCCCGGAUGACGGUCCUACUGGGCCCGGCUCCGGACCCGCGCCGCUGUUGGCUCGGGUGUGUCCUCGGGCGGAAUGAUCGCUCCGGUCAGCGGCGCUUCAGCUUUGGACAGUUUCGCGACCCGUCUUGAAACACGGACCAAGGAGUCUAACAUGUGCGCGAGUCAUUGGGCUCUGACGAAACCUAAAGGCGCAAUGAAAGUGAAGGUCUCGCCUUGCGCGGACCGAGGGGAGAUGGGGCCCAACCGGUCGCGCUCCGGCGCGCCGGCGGCCUCCGCAUCCCCGGGGCGUCUCGUCCUCAUCGCGAGGUGAGGUGCACCCAGAGCGUACACGUUGGGACCCGAAAGAUGGUGAACUAUGCCUGGCCAGGAUGAAGUCAGGGGAAACCCUGAUGGAGGUCCGUAGCGAUUCUGACGUGCAAAUCGAUCGUCGGAGCUGGGUAUAGGGGCGAAAGACUAAUCGAACCAUCUAGUAGCUGGUUCCCUCCGAAGUUUCCCUCAGGAUAGCUGGUGCUCAGACGAGUCUCAUCCGGUAAAGCGAAUGAUUAGAGGCCUUGGGGCCGAAACGACCUCAACCUAUUCUCAAACUUUAAAUGGGUGAGACCUCCGGCUUGCUUAAUGCGCUGAAGCCGCGAGCUUUGAAACUCGGAUCGGAGUGCCAAGUGGGCCACUUUUGGUAAGCAGAACUGGCGCUGUGGGAUGAACCAAACGCCGAGUUAAGGCGCCCGACUCGACGCUAAUGGGAAACCAUGAAAGGCGUUGGUUGCUUAAAACAUCAGGACGGUGGCCAUGGAAGUCGGAAUCCGCUAAGGAGUGUGUAACAACUCACCUGCCGAAGCAACUAGCCCUGAAAAUGGAUGGCGCUGAAGCGUCGGGCCUAUACUCGGCCGUCAGUCCGGCAGUCACGGCCGGUCCUCUCGAGGCCGGCCGCGAAGCCCUGACGAGUAGGAGGGUCGCGGCGGUGGGCGCAGAAGGGUCUGGGCGCGAGCCUGCCUGGAGCCGCCGUCGGUGCAGAUCUUGGUGGUAGUAGCAAAUACUCCAGCGAGGCCCUGGAGGACUGACGCGGAGAAGGGUUUCGUGUGAACAGCCGUUGCACACGAGUCAGUCGAUCCUAAGCCCUAGGAGAAAUCCGAUGUCGAUGGGGGCCACACAAAAGUUGGCCGGCCCCCGUUGGGCGAAAGGGAAUCCGGUUCCUAUUCCGGAACCCGGCAGCGGAACCGAUACAAGUCGGGCCCCUCAUCUGAGAAGCUCGUCGGGGCAACCCAAAAGGACCCGGAGACGCCGUCGGGAGAUCGGGGAAGAGUUUUCUUUUCUGCAUGAGCGUUCGAGUUCCAUGGAAUCCUCUAGCAGGGAGAUAUGGUUUGGAACGCGAAGAGCACCGCAGUUGCGGCGGUGUCCCGAUCUUCCCCUCGGACCUUGAAAAUCCGGGAGAGGGCCACGUGGAGGUGUCGCGCCGGUUCGUACCCAUAUCCGCAGCAGGUCUCCAAGGUGAAGAGCCUCUAGUCGAUAGACUAAUGUAG
rnacentral:rRNA from 1 species